rfam:Triticum aestivum genome assembly, contig: Triticum_aestivum_CS42_TGACv1_scaffold_499677_6BL
AAAGUACUCCCUCCGUCCCAAAAUUCUUGUCUUAGAUUUGUCUAGAUACGGAUGUAUCAUGACACAUUUUAGUAUUAGAUACAUCCGUAUCUAGACAAAUCCGUAUCUAGACAAAUCUAAGACAAGAAUUUUGGGACAGAGGGAGUAGUUG